rnacentral:rRNA from 3 species
CUGGCUGUGUGCCUAAUACAUGCAUGUCGAGCGGAAGUAGCAAUACUUUAGCGGCGAAUGGGUGAGUAACACGUGCUUAAUCUACCUUUUAGAUUGGAAUACCUAAUGGAAACAUUGGUUAAUGCCGGAUACGCAUGAAGUCGCAUGACUUCGUUGUGAAAGAAGCGUUUGCUUCGCUAAGAGAUGAGGGUGCGGAACAUUAGCUAGUUGGUGAGGUAAUGGCCCACCAAGGCUAUGAUGUUUAGCCGGGUCGAGAGACUGAACGGCCACAUUGGGACUGAGAUACGGCCCAAACUCCUACGGGAGGCAGCAGUAGGGAAUAUUCCACAAUGAGCGAAAGCUUGAUGGAGCGACACAGCGUGCACGAUGAAGGCCCUCGGGUUGUAAAGUGCUGUUGCAAGGGAAGAACAGUUAGAUGAGGAAAUGCUUCUAACCUGACGGUACCUUGUUAGAAAGCGAUGGCUAACUAUGUGCCAGCAGCCGCGGUAAUACAUAGGUCGCAAGCGUUAUCCGGAAUUAUUGGGCGUAAAGCGUUCGUAGGCUGUUUAUUAAGUCUGGAGUCAAAUCCCAGGGCUCAACCCUGGCUCGCUUUGGAUACUGGUAAACUAGAGUUAGAUAGAGGUAAGCGGAAUUCCAUGUGGAGCGGUGAAAUGCGUAGAUAUAUGGAAGAACACCAAAGGCGAAGGCAGCUUACUGGGUCUAUACUGACGCUGAGGGACGAAAGCGUGGGGAGCAAACAGGAUUAGAUACCCUGGUAGUCCACGCUGUAAACGAUGAUCAUUAGUCGGUGGAAAACUACUGACGCAGCUAACGCAUUAAAUGAUCCGCCUGAGUAGUAUGCUCGCAAGAGUGAAACUUAAAGGAAUUGACGGGGACCCGCACAAGCGGUGGAGCAUGUGGUUUAAUUUGAAGAUACGCGGAGAACCUUACCCACUCUUGACAUCCCCUGCAAAGCUAUAGAGAUAUAGUGGAGGUUAACAGGGUGACAGAUGGUGCAUGGUUGUCGUCAGCUCGUGUCGUGAGAUGUUUGGUCAAGUCCUGCAACGAGCGCAACCCCUAUCUUUAGUUACUAACGAGUUAUGUCGAGGACUCUAGAGAUACUGCCCGGGUAACCGGGAGGAAGGUGGGGAUGACGUCAAAUCAUCAUGCCUCUUACGAGUGGGGCUACACACGUGCUACAAUGGUCGGUACAAAGAGAAGCAAUAUGGCGACAUGGAGCAAAUCUCAAAAAGCCGAUCUCAGUUCGGAUUGAAGUCUGCAAUUCGACUUCAUGAAGUCGGAAUCGCUAGUAAUCGCAGAUCAGCUACGCUACGGUGAAUACGUUCUCGGGUCUUGUACACACCGCCCGUCACACCAUGAGAGCUGGUAAUACCCAAAGUCGGUUUGCUAACCUAACGGAGGCGACUGCCUAAGGUAGGACU